GACGAACGCUGGCGGCGUGCCUAAUACAUGCAAGUUGAGCGAUGAAGCUUGGUGCUUGCCCCAAUUUGAAGAGCAGCGAACGGGUGAGUAACGCGUGGGGAAUCUGCCUUUGAGCGGGGGACAACAUUUGGAAACGAAUGCUAAUACCGCAUAACAACUUUAAACAUAAGUUUUAAGUUUGAAAGAUGCAAUUGCAUCACUCAAAGAUGAUCCCGCGUUGUAUUAGCUAGUUGGUGAGGUAAAGGCUCACCAAGGCGAUGAUACAUAGCCGACCUGAGAGGGUGAUCGGCCAAAUUGGGACUGAGACACGGCCCAAACUCCUACGGGAGGCAGCAGUAGGGAAUCUUCGGCAAUGGACGAAAGUCUGACCGAGCAACGCCGCGUGAGUGAAGAAGGUUUUCGGAUCGUAAAACUCUGUUGGUAGAGAAGAACGUUGGUGAGAGUGGAAAGCUCAUCAAGUGACGGUAACUACCCAGAAAGGGACGGCUAACUACGUG
rnacentral:rRNA from 1 species